UACGAAGGGGGCUAGCGUUGCUCGGAAUUACUGGGCGUAAAGGGAGCGUAGGCGGAUAGUUAAGUCAGAGGUGAAAGCCCAGGGCUCAACCUUGGAAUUGCCUUUGAUACUGGCUAUCUUGAGUAUGGGAGAGGUAAGCGGAACUCCGAGUGUAGAGGUGAAAUUCGUAGAUAUUCGGAAGAACACCAGUGGCGAAGGCGGCUUACUGGCCCAUUACUGACGCUGAGGCUCGAAAGCGUGGGGAGCAAACAGGG
rnacentral:rRNA from 1 species